rnacentral:rRNA from 1 species
UACAGAGGUCUCAAGCGUUGUUCGGAUUCAUUGGGCGUAAAGGGUGCGUAGGCGGCGCGGUAAGUCGGGUGUGAAAUCUCGGAGCUUAACUCCGAAACUGCAUUCGAUACUGCCGUGCUUGAGGACUGGAGAGGAGACCGGAAUUUACGGUGUAGCGGUGAAAUGCGUAGAUAUCGUAAGGAAGACCAGUGGCGAAGGCGGGUCUCUGGACAGUUCCUGACGCUGAGGCACGAAGGUCAGGGGGAGCAAAACGGGG